ensembl:snRNA U6 U6 spliceosomal RNA
GUGCUGGCUUUAGUAGCACAUACACUAAAAUUAGGACAAUACAGAGAAGACUAAUUAGCUUGGUCACUGUGAAAGGAUAACAUGCAGAUUCCUGAAAGGUUCCAUAUUUUU